rnacentral:rRNA from 1 species
CAUAGCGACUAUCGUGGCAUAUCAAUAAGCGGAGGAAAAGAAACUAACAAGGAUUCCCCUAGUAACGGCGAGUGAAGCGGGAAGAGCUCAAAUUUGAAAUCUUAAAGGGUUUCCCUUUACGAAUUGUAGUUUAAAGAAGUGUUUUCUGUUGGAGUUUCGGUAAAAGUUCUUUGGAAUAGGACAUCAUAGAGGGUGAGAAUCCCGUAUUUGACCGUUACUUUCCAGCUGUGUGAUACACUCUCAAAGAGUCGGAUUGUUUGGGAAUGCAGUCCAAAAUGGGUGGUAAAUUUCAUCUAAAGCUAAAUAUUGGCGAGAGACCGAUAGCGAACAAGUACCGUGAGGGAAAGAUGAAAAGAACUUUGAAAAGAGAGUUAAACAGUACGUGAAAUUGUCAAAAGGGAAGCGUUUGACACCAGUGUUGUUUUUCCGAAAAUCAAUUACGAAUGUUUUGUUUUUGAGGAGUUAUGACUUCAUCGGCUUGCUUCUCUCUUUAUGAAACUUUCUUAAUGCACUUUUCGGUUAACAAGUCAACAUCAAUUUCUUUUGUUGUAAAAGGGUAUGAGGAAGGUGGCUUUCUCUUCGGCGCAAGUGUUUAUAGCCUUGUAGCCUCUACAAUCGGAGAGAUUGAGGUCUGCAGCGUAGAUCCUUCGGGAUUAGAUUCAGUUUGUGCUAAGUUAUAGCUUUUCAUAGACAACUUGUUGACUAUGUUUAGUCUUGUAGCUUACUCGCUUAAGUGUAUUUUACCUACGCUUAGGAUGUUGAUAGUCACAGCGUGUAC